AGCAGCCGCGGUAAUUCCAGCUCCAAUAGCGUAUAUUAAAGUUGUUGCAGUUAAAAAGCUCGUAGUUGAAUUUCGGGGUUCUACCGUUGGUCAGGCUAUUGUCUGUACUGGCGUGUAGAAUUUCUACCUUCUGGGGAACUAUCAUGUUAUUAAUUUAGCGUGGUAGGAAACCAGGACCUUUACCUUGAAAAAAUUUAGAGUGUUCAAAGCAGGCUUAUGUCUGAAUACAUUAGCAUGGAAUAAUAAAAUAGGACGGUGGUCCUGUUUUGUUGGUUUCUGAAUCACCGUAAUGAUUAAUAGGGAUAGUUGGGGGCAUUAGUAUUCAAUUGUCAGAGGUGAAAUUCUUGGAUUUAUUGAAGACUAACUACUGCGAAAGCAUUUGCCAAGGAUGUUUUCAUUAAUCAAGAACGAAAGUUAGGGGAAUCGAAGACGAAUCAGAUACCGUCGUAGUCUUAACCAUAAACCUAUGCCGACUACGGGAAUCGGACGAUGUUAACUUCUUGACUCGUGCGCUUACGGG
rnacentral:rRNA from 1 species